UACGAGGGGGGCGAGCGUUGUUCGGAAUUAUUGAGCGUAAAGGGUGCGUAGGCGGUUUGGUAAGUCUGAUGUGAAAUCUAUGGGCUCAACUCAUAGUCUGCAUCGGGAAACUGCCGGGCUUUGAGUGUGGGAGAGGUGAGUGGAAUUCCCGGUGUAGCGGUGAAAUGCGUAGAUAGUCGGGAGGAACACCUGUGGCGAAAGCGGCUCACUGGACCACAACUGGACGCUGAUGGCACGAAAGCUAGGGGAGCAAACAGG
rnacentral:rRNA from 1 species